UAAAAAGGAAAAAAGUAAUCAAAGCCUUAAUUAUUUUGAUUAAAAAAAAAAAAAAAAAAAAAAAGGAACUUAAAACUGCGUCAUUUAGCCUAUCUAUCAAAUCCCUAGGUCCUUCUAAUCGUUCUUCUUAUCGAUUGAUGUCAGGUGACUUCCCAUCUUUGUUCAGAAGUAAUAGGAAUGUGACUUCCCUCAAGUAAGAGACCCUGCUUGCUUAUCAAUCACAGAGCUCUAGUUCUCCAUCCAUCUUAAGCAGCAAAUCGCCAUUUUUUUACUGGUAAGCUUACUUUCCCUUUUUUCCCUUUUCCUCUUUGUUUAGUAAACGCCUUGAAAAUCUGUGUUUGAAUUUGUUUAUAAUCUGUGUUUGAAAAUAUUCCUUUUUCUCUUUAGUAGAGGUCUCUUUACAUGCAGAGCCUCUUUUCUUUUAUUUUGUUCAUAAUCUAUGUUCUUUGCAUUUUCUCAUAAUUUGAAAAUCUGUGUUUGUUUGCAAUUAGCAAACAUGCAAUGAUAUUAGCAAGAGUUUAUGAGAAUGGAAUGAUAUUAGCAAGAGUUUAUUAAAUCUGUGUUUGUUUCUACGAAGGAAUUGAGGAUGCUGGAUUGUAUGGUUGGCCUCCAUCUCCAUAGACUCUGUUUCUAUCUUCUGUUCAGUUUUCUAUUUCCAGCUCUAAAUGCAUCUACUAGUACUUCCUUUAUUCUACCUUACAUUUCAUUAUUCAUAAGAGUUACACUAUGAAUUAUGAACCAUAGACAAUGUAGAAACAUAAUAUACAAUCUUAUGAAACUCCAAACUUAAAUAAGUAAGGAAUAUUGUCAACAAGAAAGUAGUAACAAUUGGUGGAUAUCAAUUCUACAUAGUAAAGCCAAGCUUGUCGCCAAUAUGGAUUUAUAUAUAAAACUGCAAUUAUUCCCAACAAAACUAUGAUGUAAGAUACCACAAAGCUCACAUAGAAAAUAUCCAUGUCGAUGAACCCACUAUUGUGAUCAAUUGAAUUUAUGGGCAUUGGUGAUGAAGGUAUUGUUGCAUAACAAGCUUUUGGCAGUGGUAAUCCACAGAGGAAAGGAUUUCCCUCAUAGCUGCCUUCAUCAAAUGUUCCAAAUUGUGCAACUCUUGUAGGUGUCUUACCAGAUAAGUUAUUGUGUGCUACACUGAAAACUUCUAAAAAAUGUAAUUGAGUAAUUUGAGAAGGAAUUUCCCCCCUCCAAAUUGUUGUCAAAAAGAUCUAAGCUCUCGAUUUGCCUCAAAUUUGAAAAUGUUUGUGGAAUUGAUCCGGUCAAACUAUUGUGUGAUAGAUUUAACAUUUGAAUUGUAUCAAGAUCUCCAAUUUCAAAUGGAAUCUCUCCAGAAAAAUUAUUACAAGAAAGAUCAAUCCCCGAAAAAUAUUGGAGUGUGCUUGGUUGAUAAGAAUAGAAUCCUUUCUUGUUUGUAAACUCCAAAGGUUGUGAGUCAGGAGGAAUAGCCAUAGAUAAAAGGGUUUUAUUUGCAGGUCCUUUAGACCAAGCACUACUAAGUCUCAGACAAGGGAGAAUAUGACCAGAAAGAUUAUUAUGAGAGAGAUCAAUGAAGCUUAAGUUAUACAAGUUGCAUAAUUGAGUUGGAAUUCCACCCUCCAAAUGAUUACUACUUAACUGAAUGUACCUCAAUUUAGAAUUGUUGGCAAUCCUCAUUGGAAUUUUUCCUAUUAAGUUAUUAUGGCUAAGAUCUAACGUAAGUAAUGAAGAGUCACCAUUAAAUACAUCACUCAAAGAUCCUUGCAGUUUAUUUUUUGACAAGUGAAUUUCUUUUAUUUUCGAAGGGCAAAAAUUAGAUGGUAAGCUUCUAGAAAUAUUGUUUAGUGAAAGAUCUAAAAUUUCAAGAGACGACAUACUUCCCAUCCAUUUUGGGAUGCUUCCAGAGAGAUGGUUAUCACUGACAUCCAAUAUACUCAAUGAAGUUGCAUUAAACAAACUAUUUGAUAUAUUUCCAUUGAACAGAUUGCCAUCUAAUUGUAACCAUUCAAGAAAUUCCAAAUUAACAUUUUUGGAAAAUAUCUGUCCUUGCAAAGUGUUCUUUGAAAGUUUGAGUUCUUAUAAUGAGAUACAACCUACGGUCAAUUGCUCAGGUAUACUUCCUGACAAUCUAUUGUCAGAUAAGUCCAAACGUACCAAAAAGCUCAUAUUUCCAAAUGAAGGGGGAAUAUUCCCAUUCAAACCAUUUCCCCUCAUGUUUAAACCCAUUAAUCUUGACAAAUAUGUCCCAAUUUUGUUUGGGAUGGAUCCAUACAGACUAUUGUCAGAAAUAUCCAAGAAUAACAAAUUCGGAAGAGAAUGAAUAGGUAACUGGAAUGGCCCUAAAAGAGAAUUGUUGGCCAAAUUGAGUACCCUUAGUUUUGUGUUGUUGCCUAAUAACCAGAAUGGAAACUCUCCUCUUAUUUUAUUGUUUGAUAGAUCAACAUAUUGCAGAUUAUACUUAUGAUAGAGGAACUUGGGAAUAUCUACACUACCAUAUCCAUGGCCAGACAAGUAGAGACUCUCUAAUUGAAACUUUGGAGUGAACUUAUGAGCCUCUAUUAUGGCAUAUAUGGUGUUCAGUUGACAAUCCAAAAAAUUGAGAUUUGAAUGGUUGAAAAAUAGAGAGAGUGAGAUUGGGAUUUGGAAGAUAUUAUCAGAGAGAUCUAGAUAUUCAAGGGAUGUUAAUCUCGUAAGAGGAGAUGAAGCAAUGUCUCCAAUAAAGUUAUUAUGAGAGAGAGAAUUUUUUGAGGGAUGUCAAAUUUGCUAGACACCAUGGCAAACUACCAUUGAGAUAAUUGUGACUUAUAUCUAGCUCUUGCAGAAACUUCAAUUUGCAAGGACCUGAAUAUUUGAAAUUUUGCAACAAAAAAGAAAAAAAAAAAAAACUUUGUUUAGUUACAAUUCUAAUUUAUUUGAAAGAGAUGAUACAAGGGAGAGCCAGAGACUGUUGAACAUACCUUGAUCAGUAGGUAUGGGUCUAGUAAGUCGACAACCAGGUAAUAAUAAAGUUUUAAGAUGCCUCAUUAUUCCAAUGUCUUGUAGACCAAAGCUAUUGUUGAUAGUAGAAGUACUCAUGUCCAAAUACUCCAAAUUUUUGAAAUUAAGUAAACCUAUAAAAAUUCAAAAAGGAGUGUGUGAAAAUAUAUUGGAAUUUUUUGAUAAUUUUAAAUAUGAGAGAUUCUUUUACUGAUCUAAGCUCUUUUUUUUUUUUUAAGUGUCUUUGAACAGAGAGACAUCUUUUGUAGUUAAUUUAAUCACCUCCAGUAGGUACGGAUCCAUUCAGCCACCUUAAAGACAAAAGCUUAACAGAAGGCAUCAUUGCUCCAAGGCUUUGAAGGAAGUUGUCAUCCACAUUAAUAGAAUAAUCCAGGUACAGCUCUUUCAAAUUAGUGAAAUUACCUAUUGAUUCAAAUGAAACACCAAAUGAAUAUUUCUUUCCGCUUAAUAAGAAAGUAAAACUAGAAUUACAUAAAUUUUAAAUUAAAUUACUUNNNNNNNNNNNNNNNNNNNNNNNNNNNNNNNNNNNNNNNNNNNNNNNNNNNNNNNNNNNNNNNNNNNNNNNNNNNNNNNNNNNNNNNNNNNNNNNNNNNNNNNNNNNNNNNNNNNNNNNNNNNNNNNNNNNNNNNNNNNNNNNNNNNNNNNNNNNNNNNNNNNNNNNNNNNNNNNNNNNNNNNNNNNNNNNNNNNNNNNNNNNNNNNNNNNNNNNNNNNNNNNNNNNNNNNNAAACUGUUAGAUAUUAGUAAAUAAGAAAACAAAAUAUAUUGUACCAUGGUAAGAAUUGAAGCCAUCGAUUUCAUUGUAACUUAUAUCCAAUUCUAUCAAAUUAUUUAAUUCUGCACAUCUCAACACACGUCAGUGUAUAUAUAUAUUCUUAAUAGUUUGAGACGAAAACAAAAAGUUAGUCCUUCAAAUUAAUAAUUAAAAGAAAUAAUUAAAGCCUUCGAUUCUGCUGCCUCUUAUUAAUAGUUUGAGGCAAAAUGGAAAGAAGAAAAAAAAAAAAAGGUGAAGUUAUCACCUGGCAUAUUAAUUAUUCCUUCUAAUGUAUUGUCAGAUAGAUAUAAGUAUUUCAAAGAUAAAAAACCACCCAACGAUGAUAAGAUACUAAAUUCUCUUUCAAAUCAAUAAGUUCCAAAUUGGAAAGUGUUGACAACCUUUCAAAACCUGCAUAUAUGAAACAACAUUUUAAAAAUGUACAUAAAUUUAAUUAUUUUGAAUCAUUAAUUAAUGAUAAGAUAAAAGGACCUUCAUUCUUAACGCAAUCAGCUAUACCAUUUCCACUUAAAUGAAGAUACUUCAAUUGUUGAAAUGGAAGAAACAAAGAGACAUUUAGGUAAAAAUCAUUCUGUAAAGACCGAUCCCUCAUGAAUGAAAGGUAGAAUUUUGUAACUCGACCAGUAAUUUCAUCGCACUCAAUGCCUUCCCAAUUACAACAGGCAACACUAUCUAUCCUCCAAAAAUAAGGAAGAAAAGAAGGAUUGAAGGAAGACGUUAUUUGCAAUAGUGCAACUCUUUCUUCCUCUAAACACCCAUCACAACUCUCUCUUAAGAAGAUUAAAAUCACUAAUAUCCAACAAUACCUCUUAAUAAUAUCCAUUUUUAAUACUUAUCUUCAACUCGCUCUAGAUUGUUAUAUAUAGAGAGGAGUAGCAAAGUGGUCCGUGGCGUGAAAAAAGGUGUUGCAAAGUAAAGCGAAUUUUCCUCCAUCCAUCCAAUUACAUUUUUAUAUUUUAAUUAAAAAAAUUACAAAAAGUUAAACUAAGCAUUCUAUAAAAACUCUUCUUUUUGAAUAUUUUUGACUCCUAAAAUUUAACCAUUCUAAAUUUUUUAGAUACUUUAUAAAUUGAAAAAAAAAAUUAAAAUUUGAAAAAUCAAUGAGAGGCCUCCAUUUCGAAAUUCUAUUCUCUCAGUUCUUGAUUUUUUGUUUUUUAGAAAAAAAUAUUUCCUCUCAAAAUUCUAGCUAAGGCAACCCUUAUAUUGCAAAAACUUUUAUAUUAGAACCAUGAAAUUACAUAAUUUAACAUUCGUUAUAAAGAUAAUCGUUUGCAGAAAAAGUCUUCCAAAAUGUGUCACAUCAAUCAUUUACUCUAAGUUCUGGUGUAUUGUUUAUUUGUAGAGGAGACUUAAAAAUAAAGUUGACUUAAAUAAUAACCGAUGAGUGUAUGGAUGAAUGGUUAACACUCUUCUCCUUUUAAGUGAGAUACCAAUAAAAAAAUCGAUUUAAAUAAUAAGAGAGAUUAAACUUCAUUUCUUUUGGUUAAUUAAAAACUAAAAAAGAAUUGAAGUUCAAGUAUUUUUUUAAAGGUAACAUAUAUUUAGUUGAGGGCUUUGAAAUUGUGCUCUGAUGGAAAAGAAAGAACAGAAUUUUAAUAGAGUUAUGACUGUGAGUUUAAAAAUUUGUAUACUUUUUUAAUCAAAAGAAAUCACAAGGGCCUAAUUAAUUUGCAUCUUCUAUUCUAGUGCUUGUUGAAAUUUCUAAUAUUUAUUUAGAAGUGCUUCAGAGUAAUAUCUAAUUUGUCAAAAAAUUAUUAUUUUUUUAUAUAUUUUUACCCUCUAAACUUACACCAAAAGAAUAAAAUGCGUGAUUUUUUAUCCAAAAAAUAAAUUAUUUGAUAUAAAUCAAAUAUAAUUAAAAAUAAUUAAAUAUUUGAUCUAGAUCAUAUAUAAUUAAAAAAAUAACCAAAAAAAAAAAUAAUAAAUAUUUUAUAAUCAAAUAUUUUUCUAAUUCUAUAAUUUUUAUAUAUCAAAUAUUUUGUUUCAUUAUUUUCUAAAUCAAACAUAAAAUAAUGUAACUUUUUAUAAUCAUUUUUAUACUUUUAAAUAUUUUUUCUUUAUUAAUUUUACAAUUUUUAAAAAUUUAAAAAUAUAAAAUAUUAUUUUUUCAAAAAAAAUGAGCUUUUUAUUUCUUUUUGUACAAAUUUAAGGUGUAAAUUGUACAAAAAAAUAAUUUUUGAGCAAAUUAGCGAAUUUUAUAUUGCUACCAAGUUCAAUGGGAAGAUUAAAUUUUAUUUCCAUUUCAAUUAAUCAAGGUGAAAGUAUAAUCAAAUUCAAUAGCAUUUACUUUCAAUUUUUUUUUCAAUAUCAAUUACAAAAUUAAUCAAUAUCAAUUGCAAAAUUAAUUCUACUUUUCAUUUUGAUAAGUAAAAGAUUAAAAAUGGAUGAUUCUAAAAUUAUAAAUUUAUUAAAUAAUUUUAUAAAGUUUAUAUUCAAUUUUAAAUGCGAUCAGUAUUUUUUUAAAAUUCAUUAGAAGCUUUUAUGAGCAGAAAUAACAUUCCGAGCUAUACAACUAGGGGUACCCCUACCCUUGACUGACGAUAUUGGUAAAAACAGUUGUAGUCAAGAGGAUUCAAACUCGAAACUUUUUACUUCUCAUAUAAGAAAAAAGACCAAUCAAGCCACCAAUUGAUUGACCAUGACGGCCAAUGCAGUCAGUAUUUAAGUGGUCGUGAUGUCAUUGUCGAUUUAAGUCAAGCAAAAGUAUUAUUUGGUUUACUUGACUCACAUAGUUGUCAUAAUAACAAAGAAGUCUUUCUUUAAUUUUAAGUCUUCCAUUUGCAUUAUUUCUAUAGAAAAACAUAUAACUCUCUAAAUGCCUAAGUAUGGGCCUACCGCUGACUAACAGCAGUAGCCCCAAAUAAAAAUUUGGAAUAAAUAGAUUAGAGAGGAAAGAGGAGGAGAGAAACCCUUGAGUGUGCGCCAGUUGAAUAAUAUUAUGUAAAUCUUCCACUUAAUUCCUUUUUAAGUACAAAGUAUGUCUUUAAUCAAGCAUAAAGAAUACCGUUAAUAAGUUGAAAUAUAAUUUUAUAUUUUAAAUCAACUUUAGACUUAUGAAAAUAUACUCCCUCCGUUUCAUUUUGUUUACAUGAUUUGACAAAUCACGUAUAUUAAGAAUUUAGUCAACAAAAGUUAUUUUUUUCUUUUUAAUCCUUAAUUCAUUUAGAUAUUAAUAAAUAUCUUUCAUUUAAUGAAGAAUCAUAAAUAUUAUCAUGAAAAAAAUAAUUAUUUACAUAUAUAAAUUUAAAAACUUGUAAAUAUUUUGGAAUAUCUAAAAAAAGAAAACAAGGAAACAAAAUGGGACCGAGGGAAAAAUUUGUUUGUGGUCUAGCUCAGGCAAUCAUAUUAUUUGGUUUAUGGGCUUAUUGUUGUAACAAAGUGUACUUUUCUAACAAAAAAGAAGUCUUCCUUUAACAUUAAGUCUUGCAGAAAAAGACUUCAAAAAUGUGAUGUGUGAUGUGUCACACCAACCCUUACUAUAAGUUAUGUUGUAUUGUUUUUCAAAAACUUUUAUAUUUGUUUGUUUGUUUGUGGUCAAGCAAUCGUAUCAUUUGGUUUAUGGACUUAUUGUUGCAACAAAAGUGUAGUUUUCUAACAAAAAAGAAGUCUUCCUUUAACGUUAAGUCUUGCAUUCACAUUAUUUCUAUGGAAAACACGUAAUACCUAAUAAUACCUAAUAAUAGGUUUAUUUUGAUUUUCCAAAAGCUGGUAGUAGCAAAAGUAAAUACCUAAUAAUAGGUUUUAAAUGAAAAGGAAUAUCAAGGCUACGGUUGUUUUUUAAAAGUAAGUACUGAAAAAAUAUUUUUAAAAUUUUUCGACAUUUGGAGUGUUCAGUAAAAUCAGUCAAUAGAAAAUAUUUUCUUGGCGAAAAAAAAAACUAUAUAAGUUUUUAAGAAAAAUGACUUUUUGUUUUUAAGGGAGGAAAAUAUUUUCUGGACAAUAAUAAACUUAUUAUAAUCUUAUAAAUAUAUAUAUUUUUUAAUUUAUUAAUCAAUAGCAACCACUAUCACUAGCCACUGAUCACCAUCCACCAUAAUAAUCGUGCCGGCCAACAUUGGUCACAUCAUGAAUCAUUGAUCACUAUCACUAUUUAUUAUUUUUACGCGUUUCUUCUUAGAUUUUAAUAAUAACUUUUGACUUCCAUGAAUAUUGAAAUAUGACAUUACAUUUUAUAACUUAUUACUACUUGAAAUACAAAAUAUAAUGUACAUGAAAAUUAUAAAUAACUUAAAUAAUGUUUCAGUUGAACACGAUAUAAUAAUAUAUUAUUUAAAAGGUUACAUAUGAAAGAUUAGGGGAUAUGUAUCUUUCAAUAAAUUAAUUAUUUAUAUACAUGUACCAUAUGAUUGAUUUUAGUUUUAGCGACUUAAUUAUAGUUUAUAUAAGCGGUUUAUGGAUCUCCUACCUCAGAAGAAGUUUUUUUGAGACGAAAUCAAACUGGAAAUUUUGUUAAGAGGAAUCUAUAAACAUAUGUGGAAUACAUAUCAAUAAAUUUCUAUAUUUUAAUAAACCACUCAUAUAAAAAAUUAAAAAAGACAAUCUUGAUUUGAAGUAUCUGGUCAAGUUGACAGAGCAUAAUACAUGUGUUGUAGGCGAUCGCUCGCUCCACUUGGUGGCGAUUCAUGACUAUUGUUCGACUUCAUGGUUUUUUUACAAGUCUGAUAUGAUUAUCUUCAAAAUUCUUCCUUCUAUCAAAAAGGAGAUCUACACUUUUUUCUACAUAACUGUCCAAAUAAUAAAAUACCAUAAACAAAAUCACCAUUAAAAAACUCAGAAACUCUCAAACGACUAGAUCUAAGAAUAAAAUCGUAAAAAAUAUGGGUAACAAUAAUCUCAAAAUACAGGAAACAAUAACUCAUAUCUGUAUCACAAGACACAAAUUUAAGGAUUAUUCGAAAAAAGAAAAAAAAAAAGAAAGAAAUAAUGAACUUUGAAAAAUCCUUUUGUAAGAAAGAAAAAUAUUUUCUAUAACUUAUUUUCUAGAAACAAACCGACUCCUAUAAGUCCGGCCGGAGCCCACAGUUGAACACUUUUGGGACCAAGUUAAAUCAAGCUAGGCUAUUGAAAUUGUAAGGAAACUUUCACUUGAGAUGAGGCCAGCUACGUUUUGGGACCCAAAUGGCCAAGAAGCCCAUGACAUAUCGGACUUGAGCUAAUUGCAUAAUACUCCACCUAAUCCAAUUUUUAUUAUCUAAAUAAAAAUAAAAAAAAGCUAAAACUACAAACUGGCUCUUAUAAUUAAAAAAAAAAAAAAGUAUUUUUUGGUUUUUCUGCUUCUCAAAUUUUCUUUUUUUUUAUUAAAAAAUUUUGUGUUACAUUUAAUUAGCAAACUGAGGUUUAUCAUUACACUUUCUGUAGGGAAUUCUAAUGAAAUACAUAUAUUCUAAUAAAAUGCGGUACAAUAAUAAUUAAAUAGAAUUUUAAUAUAAACAUUAUUUUCUGUUUUUAUUACGAUUUCCAAAAACCGAUUUAGUAUUAUUAGUGUCUAUUAAGAUGGAAUAUAUAACACUUUAGUAAUGUGGCUUCUAUUAAUCUAAUAUAAGAUAUUGCACAUUCAAACAAUAGAAAUGACUUAUAAUUUAUAAAAAUUAUAAUCAUGUCCUUAUAAAAUAUAAAAAUAACUAGUCUGUAUAUAUUUUUUAGAAAACAUACUAUUUUAUCUUUAUGUAUUUAUUCCUUUCAAUUCUUCUAUUCUUAUGUUUAUAAACGUUAGUCAAUCUAAAAAAAAAAGGUUUGAGGUAAGAUAAGAAUUUCUUAUUCCUAAGUUUCGCUCUCUCUUCUACCUCUCUUUUAUGUUGAGUUUCAAUAUCAAUAAUACGUAGCGGAAUAAUAUAAUUAUACCAAUAAGGAUCUGUUUAAACGAUUAGAUCAAUAAAAAUUGUUUAAAAGAAUACAUUUUUUGCAGUUUUUUUGAAACUUCAAUCUACGCGGCUAGGUUGUCGCAAACAACAAGUCGUCCAAGUGUCCGCCUCUAGUAGUAUCUACACGAAUGGACAAUUUAAAAUUCUAAAAUUAUUUUAGAGGGUUGAAAGGUUAAAGUGUAUAAUGGGACUAACUAUCUUACGCUAUAUGUUUAGUUUUGUGGCUAUAAGCAACAAUUACCGUCUUUAGAUUGUCUCUUAAAUCUUAUAUAUGAAAACUUUCGGUCAUAAAUAAAUAAAUUAUAAUUAUUUAUUUAAAACUUUUAAAUAAAUAAAUUAUAACUAAAAUAUAUAUGUACCUAUUUAUUUAUUUAAACAAUUUAAAUAAAUAGAUCAUAAUACAUAUGACAAUACGAUUUUUAAUUUAAUUAAUUUAAUUAAUUAAUUUAACUAUUUAAAUAAAUAAAUUAUAAUUAAAAUAUUAGGUUUAUUUAAUCUGAUAUUUAUCUUAAUAAAUUUUAGAUAUAAAUCGAUUAAGUCAAUACACUUUCUCAUAUCUAUUCUUAUUUGUGUGACCUUCUAGAUUCCAAAUAUGUUGGUAACAAAUAUAAAUAAAAUUAUUUAAUUAAUAUUUGUAGGUUUAGUACAUUGUCUAGCAACAUGUCAAGACUAUCCAAAUAUUUGGAAAGUUAAUGUGGUUUGACUUAACCUUUCACUGCAUGAUUUAUCGGUGUAAUUAAUAUCUCUUCAUCAUUAAUGUUCUGAUUUAGUAAUUAGGUAUGGAGUAUUUCUGCUUUACUAAAUCAUAUUAGUUCCUUUAAUCUUAGCCAUUGAUCAUUUGAAUGAAAUUUCAAAUUUAAUUUGCUAAUUUCAUUCUAUCUUGUGCAAGGAUUUUUUUCAUUAAUACCAGUAGAGAACAAUUAGAACAUUUUCCCUGAUUUACCUAGAGUGAUGAAUCCUCUCUUAACGACACAAGUAGCUCUGUGCGGUUCCUAUUACGUCCAAAAAAUCAUUGCUUAUUAUUCAUGAAUGACUAAUGUGAACGAAGAAUCAAAACAUAGUCAUCCCCAUACAAGAUAGCUUAGUAAUUUCAAGUCAAAGGAUCACUUACACAACCAUCGCUUAAGUAUUCCAUAGACAUAGGUAACUCUCCAUACGGAAUUCUCAUGCAGGUCAAUUUAGUGGACUUGUUUAAAUAACAAGCACCUAUAUAUUAAUUUUACAUAUCACAUAUUUCCCAUCUUAUGAGAACAGCUGCUCCCCUAAGAAAAGAACAUAUAUGUACCGGUCUCAACAACUCUGAUCAUCGUCUAAUAAUGAGGAGAACAUUGACCAGAAAUAUUUAGAGACAUUACUUUAAUGCAAAUAUAAAACUCAUAAUUAUAACCACAUUAUAAUUUAUUUCGCAAAGCGGUAUUGUCUCAUGGACUUUAUCAUGUAGCAAGCUUCAACUAAUAGAAUAUAAAAGAUAAAUAAACGUCUUUUAUUAAUAAUAAAAUCUUUAUUACAUGAAAAAUUAUAUCCAAAAUAUAAUCAAUUGAAUUGGCUACAGGGUAUAUAACUAACAGUCUCCUACUUGCACUAAAGCCAAUUACCCAUGUGUUUUAUCCUAUGCAUCAGUGUAUCCAUAAACUCUUAGUUCAUCAGUUUCUCCACAACUGAAAAAUAUCCUUAAUUAUGUUUAAAUACUUAAGAAUAGUUUUAACAACAGUCCAGUGACUUUCAUCCAGAUUAGAUUGAUAUAUAGGUAGGUAUCCUCUUUUGGAUUCCUAAAUGCUAAUACUUUAUCAACAUAUGUGGAUUCAAAUAAUCUUAGCAGCCUAUUGAAUCUAUCCUUAUAGAUUUUAAUACAAAGUAUAUAAGCCAUUUCUCAAAUGGAGAAGUUCUUGGAUGACAUGACCAAAAUUUUAAAGUAAUAGAAUGUAAUUUCCUAUUAUUAAUAUGUUAUCAACAUACAAAAUAAGAAAUAUCAUUCUGCUCCCAGUGACCUUCUUAUACACAUAAAGAUCAUCCCUAUUUUUAAUGUGAUCAAACUAAUUAAUUAUUUCAUUAAAACAGAUGUUCUCAUUCCACAAAGGCUUGCUAAAGUCUACCAAUGGACUUUUGCAGUCUGCAUACUAUAUUAGGAAAUUCUUUUGAUUCAAAAAUCAUUAGAUUUGUUAUUUAAGAAUGCAGUUUUGACAUCAAUAUGAUAAAUUUCAUAAUCACGAUAUGCUGCAAUUGCAUGUAAAAUGUCAAACAUUUCUCUUAUAUUUGUUAGGUUCGAGUCUCCAUAAGAAGGUCCAACCUUUGUAAGAGCACGGCUCAUCCCAACAGAUUUACGCAGUGGUUCUUUAACUAAUGUAUUAUGAGUGUUAAUCUAAUGUAACAAUCUAUUGUUCUAGUUUCAUCUUUAAUGUGUAUUUGAGGUUCUUGAACUUUUCAAGUUCUACCUAGCUCUCACUGCUUCCUUUAAGGAUAAAUACCUUUUCUAGAAAGGUAGCAUAUUUUGAGAUAAACAUUUUUCUCUCAAUAGGAUGGUUGAAAUAAUAUCCAAUAAUUUCUUUUGGAUAUCCCACAAACUUACAUUUAUCUGAUUUAGCUCAUAGCUUAUCAGAUCUCAAACGCUUCACAUAAGCGUGUUGGCCCACAUGGAAUCUUAUCAACAGAUUUGGAUGAAACUCUAUUUAGAAUGUAUAUUGCAUUACCUUAAAAGGAUGAAGAAAAU
rnacentral:lncRNA from 1 species